GGGGAAUUAGCUCAAAUGGUAGAGCGCUUGCUUGCUUAGCAUGCGAGAGGUAGUGGGAUUGAUGCCCACAUUCUCCA
rnacentral:tRNA from 1 species